rnacentral:misc_RNA from 1 species
GUUGCUUGUGCCGAGAGCCAUGCUCGUUUGUAAUACAUUAGCAUUUCUAAUUCGACCCCGGAUUGACUCAGUGUAAUAGACUACUCACUGAGGACAUUACUUGUAAUGGCCGGAUCAAAUUACCAGUCCAAUGCUCCAAACCACCCCAGUCACAUAUCAUUUUAGACCUCAGAUCAGGCAGGAUUACCCGCUGAACUUAA